GACGAACGUUGGCGGCGUGCUUAACACAUGCAAGUCGAACGGGCCCGCCCCUGUUUUUGGGGGUGGGUUGAGUGGCGAACGGGUGAGUAUCACGUGAGUAACCUGCCCCCUGCUCCUGGAUAACUGCUUGAAAGGGCGGCUAAUACGGGGUGUGCCGGCUGGUCCGCAUGGGCCUGGUCGGGAUAGUUUCAUCUUCGGGUGUUUCGGUGGGGGAUGGGCUCGCGGCCUAUCAGCUUGUUGGUGGGGUGAUGGCCCACCAAGGCGGUGACGGGUAGCCGGCCUGAGAGGGUGGGCGGCCACACUGGGACUGAGACACGGCCCAGACUCCUGCGGGAGGCAGCAGUGGGGGGUAUUGCACAAUGGGCGGAAGCCUGAUGCAGCGACGUCGCGUGAGGGAUGGAGGCCUUCGGGUGGUGAACCUCUUUCUCCGGUGGUGGAGGCCCUGUCCGUUGCGGCGGGGUUGACGGUAGCCGGGUAUGAAGCGCCGGCUAACUACGUG
rnacentral:rRNA from 1 species